rnacentral:misc_RNA from 1 species
AUUAGAAAUAUCAGUUCAAAUACUGUGGCAGUUUAAUCUGUCUGAGUAGAUGACUUGAUUUCUAUUCAUUACAGCUAGUUUUUUUCUUAUAAAAUCCAAGGAGAAAAGGAUCAAUAAUUGCUGUAGGAUCUAAAGAAAAGCUCAGUAUGGUAGAACUAAGCACAGAACGAAAGAAAAGGGCUUUUUUUUUUACGCAAGGAACUCCUCCUCUUAGCCACUGGGAUAAAAUUGGAGCAGCUUCAUUUUGCAUUGUAGCCGUUUUAUGUUUAUACUUUUUACUAUCCCCUUCGCCAAAUCAUGUAAAUAAGCUUUUGGGAGACGUUGAUGCUCACGACAAACUUAAGGAACACUCUUUAGAAUUUUCAGAACCAAUAAUAUACAAGGUAAUUUCUUUGUGUUGUUAUUGUUUGUGAAUGAAUAAAUAGCUAAAUAUAACAAAUUAUCCCUAGGUAACAGACAAUAUCUAUAUGGCUAUAGGGUUUGCGUUGGCCAAUUCUAUUCUCAUCAAAGCUCCUCGGGGGAGUAUCAUAAUUGACACGACUGAGAGCAUUGAUUCAGCUGAAAAAAUUCUAGAAGCAUUUUCCAAGACUGUAGAUGUUGGAGAAAUCAAAGCUAUUAUCUACACCCAUAAUCACGCAGAUCACGUGAUGGGAGCUGAAGCAUUUUUACGUAAUUCUUCGAAAAACGUUGAAAUUUGGGCUCACGAAAUGUUAAUUGAUCAGAUGGAACGUUAUUUAGUUACUUCGGACACAAUAUUUCGAAGAGCGAUAAGACAAUUUGGAAUUUUAUUACCUAAACCGUAUCAUAUCAAUUCAGGCAUUGGUCCGGAAGUUCGUAUAGAUGCUACAUUUGGCUACAUUCCUCCAAAUAGACUAUUAAAACGAGAUGAAAGUGACGAAAUCAUAGCUGGUUUAAGAGUUAAGUUGGUACACAUACCUGGCGAGACUCCUGAUCAGAUUGGUGUAUGGGUAGAAGAAUGGAAAGCAUUUUUCUGCGCAGACGACUUUUAUAGAUCAUUUCCCAAUCUUUAUGCCAUAAGAGGAACUCCUAGUAGAGAUGUAAUGAAAUGGGCUAAAUCGUUAGAUAAGAUAAGAGCUCUUAGACCAAAAUACUUGAUACCUAGCCAUACGAAACCAAUUGUUGGCGAGGAAGAAAUUUACAAUCUAUUAACAAAGUAUCGAGACGCCAUUCAAUUAGUACACGAUCAAACAGUUCGUUGGAUGAAUAAAGACAUGCACCCUGAUGAUAUAGCUCGUCGUGUCAAAUUAACGGCAUCACUCAAAACUGAUUGGCUUACAGAAUAUUAUGGUAGCGUGUUUUGGUCAUCUAAAGCGGUCUAUGCUCAUUAUAUAGGCUGGUUUGACGGAGAUAUUUCAAAUCUUGAUCCACUUACCAGAGAUGAAAGGAGCGAGAGGAUCAUUCAAUUAGCCGGGGGUGCAUAUUACGCAAAUUUAGCAGCUAGAAAGGCGUUAGUCAACGAUCUACGGUGGGCUUUAGAAUUGUCUACUCACGUUCUUAACGUUCAUCCCACUGAUACAGAGGCUAAAUCAAUUAGGCUAGAGGCUCUUAAAGCCUUCGCAGCUCGUCAAACAAGCGCCAAUUCUCGAAAUUAUUAUCUAACAACAGCUCUAGAACAAGCCGGGCUUAUAGAUACGCAUAUACCAAAACAAAGGCAAAUAAGCGCCGUUAACUCGAUGAAACCGGCAACUUUGUUCAACUUAUUUAGAUUUAAAUUUAAUAUUGAAGAAUGUGGACAUUUAACUGACAUCGCUGAGUUCUAUUUUCCUGAUUAUAAAGAAUAUAUUUAUGUACAAAUUAGGAACGGAGUUAUACUAGUUGAAAAUUCGAAGGAAAAACAGAAUCACCUGACUGUUAAUUUAACGGUCAAGGUCACAUGGGAGAAGUUUAGAGAGUUCGUUUUGGAACAAAGUUCUCCCAUAGUUACCUGGAUGAAAGGAGAUUUAACUGUAGAUGAAGGCUUAUUUAAACUUCGAAAUUUCAUGAACUGUUUCGAGAAAUCGAAAACAAGUUAAAAAUUGGAAGAAUAUUCAAUAAAACAAAAACAAAUUGUAUAAUAAUAAAGAUGACAAAACAAUGGGGUAACGACGAUUUCAUUUUUUUGAGAGUGUUCUUUUUUUGUACAUAUUUAAAGAUAAGGACUAUUUAGAGUCCUAUUUACAAGGGUCUUGGAAAAAACUCCACGAUUAAAUAAUUGUCUGGCCACAGGAUGAACAGUCCAUAAAGCUCCUUUGGCGUUUGCUGCUUUACCGACUUUGAUAAAUCCUGCAUUGACGCAUAAUUCCCUUCUAACAUUAGCCUUUAGACCAUGAGGUUCAAGGACGUUGAGAAACUUUGGCUGUUUUUCUACGAAAAUCUUGUAGAUGGCAGACAGUGGAAGCGGGUCACGAGACGACAUGAGUAUUUCAGCAAUAACGUUGGAAUAACUCGGUAACUGUCUCCUUCGAGAUAAAGUUGAAGAGUGUUGAUGUUGGUGGUGGUGACCGUUAUGUAGUUCUUUUCCAUGGUAGUUGUUGUUAUUAACGUUACCGAUUGUUGGAGGAGAAUAAGUUAUCGAAUUGUUACUUCGUCCAAUGUCUGGAGGUGAAUGACUGAGCUCUAAAGAUCUUGGCGACACCGAGAACGACUGGUCGCUUCUUUCGUCCUCCUCCUCUUCGGUAAUAUCAUUUCCUUCUCCAACAACAUCGAUUAUCUCCUCUUCUUCGUGUAAUUCUACAGCUGAAUUACUUUUCUUAAUACUCAGAUCCAAGGGCUCCUCUUGAACAAGUUCCGUCGGUUGUAUAUUAUACAUAUCUCCAUAAUAAUAAGAAGAAACAGAGUUGUAGGGAUAUGAGAUGGGGCUAAACAUCCUUAACAGUGUCCAAUCGUUGAAUGACUUGGAAUGCGUCCGUUCGAGUACUUUUAUAAAGGUGAAAAAAAAGCGUUUGAGCGUUUACGGGCAAACAGUUCAUCUAACGCUGGCAUACGGCCAACGAACAAUAGAAAUCGGUUAGAUUAAAUAAAUUAACCGUCACUAAACAAUUCAGAGUUUAGCGUCAGCCAACGCUGACAUUGAAAUUAUUCCGUUGUCUUUAUUGCCUUCUAUUCUCUAAUUGAUUUCGGCCACCCGCCCAAAAAUUUUAUCCACUAUACAGUACCGCCUCUCCCUCCCCCCCCCCCAUUCCACCCCUCCGUCCGCCCCGUCCACGUUCAAAAACAAAAAAUAAAAAAUAAAUAAAAAAUUUUUCCAUGUCCUACAUUUCGUUUUUUUAAACUAAAAACUUGAACAAACUAAAUAAAUUCCAACAAUUCUUAUCUUACUUAUACACAUUUAAAGUGUAUAUUAUAUGAAUAAAUUAUAAUAAUAUACUAAUAAUUAGCAAUAAC